AAACCAUGCAUUGGGAAUUUUCUAAUUAACUCCUUGAAUCAAUCCCAUCCUUCAUAUAAUGUUUCAUCCUCAGAUUGCCGAAAGGAUGUAAUGUCGUUCCUCAAUUU
rfam:Gossypium hirsutum cultivar TM-1 chromosome 7, whole genome shotgun sequence